AAAAAUCCUCUAAAUGGUGUCAUUCCAGCUUCUGUCGGGAACUUAUCUUCCUCACUUCGAACAUUCACUGCCAGCAACUGCAAAUCCAGUGGCAGCAUUCCUGUUGAAAUAGGCAAUUUAAGCAAUUUGAUGACAUUGGUUUUCCAAGAAAAUGAGUUAUCUGGUAAUAUUCCACUAACUAUAAGCCAUUUGCAUGACCUGCAAGGAUUAUAUCUGUUGGAUAACAUGUUGGGAGGCUCAAUACCACAUGCUAUAUGUGAUCUAUUCAACCUCAAUACUUUAUAUUUAAGCCACAAUCAAUUUUCAGGUCCAAUUCCUAAUUGUCUAGGAAAUGUCUCUUCUUUAAGAAAUAUUUUUCUACACUCCAACAUGUUGAAUUCAAGCAUACCGUCAAGCUUAUGGGGCCUAAAAGAUUUGAACUCUCUAGACUUGUCCUCGAAUUCAUUGACUGGGUUCUUACCUCAAGAGAUAAGUAACUUAGGAGCAUCAAUAUAUAUAAACCUAUCGAUGAAUCAAUUGUCAGAUUCUAUUCCUAGCACUAUUGGGAAGUUGCAGAAUUUGGUUAAUUUGUCUUUGGCAAAUAAUAGACUAGAAGGUUCUAUUCCUAUGUCUAUGGGAAGCAUGAUCAGUUUGGUAACUCUUGAUUUGUCUUACAACAACCUCUCUUCUUCAAUUCCAAAGUCUUUGGAAGCACUUCAACACCUUGACUACUUUAAUGUAUCUUUCAACAGUUUAAGUGGAGAAAUUCCUAAUGGCGGUUCUUUUAGAAACUUCACUAUGGGUUCUUUUAAGGGUAAUGAGGCAUUGUGUGGAAUUCCCAAGUUUCAUGUCCGGAUUUGCCAUGAAAUUUCUAAUCAUGGAUCAAAGAGGAAGAAGGUGGAAAGAGCUUCAUUUAUUGUUUUGGGGGCUGUGGCUUUUAUCUCAGUUGUUUCUGUGGCCUUUAUAAUUGUCAGAUACAAAAGGAAAGAUAAGACAACUAGAGAAGUUGAUGGGAUGAUAUCCAUUGUGCCGGAAAGAGUCUCUUAUUAUGAAUUGCUACAAGCAACUGAACAAUUCGAUGAAAGCAAUUUACUUGGCACCGGGAGUUCUUGCUCUGUUUAUAGAGGAAUUCUUAACAAUGGGAAGGAUGUCGCUGUCAAGGUGUUUAAUAUGCAGUUAGAAGGUAUUUCAAGAAGAUUUGAUGUCGAAUGUGAGAUACUACGUAGCAUUCGACACAGAAAUCUGACGAAUGUCAUAUGCAGUUGCUCUAAUGAAGAGUUCAAAGCAUUAGUACUUGAAUAUAUGCCAAAGGGAAGCCUUGAAAAAUGAUUAUAUUCCCACAAUAUUGCUUGAAUGUGAUGGAAAGAUUGAAUAUAAUGAUUGAUGUUGCAUCUUCUUUGGAGUAUCUUCACCAUGGUUAUUCAACGCCCAUUGUCCACAGUGACUUGAAGCCUAGUAAUGUGUUGUUAGAUGAAGACAUGGUUGCCCAUGUAAGCGAUUUUGGGAUAGCAAAGUUGUUAUGUGAUGGAGAUAGCUUUGUGUUAACCAACACGCUAGCAACAUUGGGUUACAUCGCUCCAGGUGAAGUUUCUUUGCAUAUAUUGAUUUAUAUAUUGAUUAUACUUCACUUUCACUCAAUUAACUCGUGUCUUCCCUUACUACAUAUUAUGAGUCAUGGUUUUUUGUUGCUCCAGAGUAUGGUUUGGAAGGGCUAGUUUCGAUAAAAUGUGAUGUGUAUAGCUACGGAGUGAUGUUGACUGAAACUUUUACGAGAAAAAGGCCUAGUGAUGAUAUGUUUUGCGGAGAUAAGAGCUUAAAGAGAUGGGUAGAACUCUCACUUUCAGAGAUCCCAGAUGAAGUGAUAGAUGCCAACUUAGUCAUGAAUUUGGAGGAAGAACAGUUUGACAAGAAUAUGCAAUGUGUAUCAUCUAUACUUAAACUGGCUUUAAAAUGUUCUGCCGACUCUCCCGGGGAUAGAAUCAACAUGAAAGAAGCGCAUGCGGAAUUGCAGAAAAUCAAACAUCGGUUUUCCCAAUGAGAAUGAAGUAAGUUAUUUCAAAGUUUUAUGUUUUUUCUAGGAUAAUAUAUUUGUUUGGUUUUUAGUAUUUGAAGGUAGUAUUUUUAUUAGUCUUGCAAUAAAAUUGAGUGUGAUGUAUACUUCGUUGAAGCAUUUUCUCGAACACCAUGAACUCAAUCUUUGAUUAGGAAGAAUGCAGCAUUUUCUCGAACACCACUGCCAGCAAUCUUUUCCAUCAAUAUCAUCAACCAAAUAGUAAAUGAUAUCUACCUGAUUUUGUGGAACUAGUUUAAGAAAAUUCAUGUAAAUUAAUAAAUGAUUCACCAUGUAAUUAGUAUAUGAAUAAAACUAUGUAGAAACUGUAGUUAGCUUGCCUGGGAUGGGAGUCGGGGUGCAACCUCGUUUAGAAAGUAAAGCAAUCCAAGUCGGCUCCUAACAAAAUCCAUUGGCCUUCCGCCGCCGCUGCGCAUAGUGGCGCUGCAGGCGAUGAGUUAAGGUGGACCAGCGGUGUAUAAAACUCUCUGUUUUGAGAAGUUAUUCGAAGUCAU
rnacentral:lncRNA from 1 species